UGAGUCUUUCAAUAGAGCCAUUCAUUCAUCAGCUGGGAAAAUCAGCUGACUCCAUCCUCAGGCUGGUAGAGAGGAAUGGAAUUGUUUCAGAGAGCAGCCUGCAGAAAAUACUCCUUGAACACAAAAAUCUAGAUGCCCACGCAUGCCAUAUUUUAAUGUCCAGUGUCUUCAGAUAGUCCUUCUGGAUGGACACAGCCAAAUUCUCUUCUGCUAAUAAUUGAGUGACAUCUGAUGGACAAUGCAUCAACAUGCUGCCACUGGUUUCCUCUGUGGAUGCUCACUUAAUAAAGACCGAAUCACUUAACAGAGGGUGAGUGGGUAGUCAAGCUGAAUUCAGACAUUUAAAAAAACAUUUAUUUUAAAGUUAUUCUUUUUCACUCUACGUAUGUUUUCCACGUAAUGUCUACUUUUAUUCUUUUGAAGAAAUACUAAGAGUGAGUGACAAUCUGGUCUAAAUACGUACAGUUCUUUUU
rnacentral:lncRNA from 1 species